GGGCCCAUAGCUCAGUGGUCAGAGCAGCCGGCUCAUAACCGGUCGGUCCCAGGUUCAAAUCCUGGUGGGCCCACCA
rnacentral:tRNA from 1 species